rnacentral:rRNA from 1 species
AUUGAACGCUGGCGGCAUGCCUUACACAUGCAAGUCGAACGGCAGCAUGGGAGCAAUCCUGGUGGCGAGUGGCGAACGGGUGAGUAAUAUAUCGGAACGUGCCCAGUCGUGGGGGAUAACGUAGCGAAAGCUACGCUAAUACCGCAUACGAUCUACGGAUGAAAGCGGGGGAUCGCAAGACCUCGCGCGAUUGGAGCGGCCGAUAUCAGAUUAGCUAGUUGGUGAGGUAAAGGCUCACCAAGGCGACGAUCUGUAGCUGGUCUGAGAGGACGACCAGCCACACUGGAACUGAGACACGGUACAGACUCCGACGGGAGGCAGCAGUGGGGAAUUUUGGACAAUGGGCGCAAGCCUGAUCCAGCAAUGCCGCGUGCAGGAUGAAGGCCUUCGGGUUGUAAACUGCUUUUGUACGGAACGAAACGGUGAGCUCUAAUACAGUUUGCUAAUGACGGUACCGUAAGAAUAAGCACCGGCUAACUACGUGCCAGCCGCCGCGGUAA